rnacentral:tRNA from 1 species
GGCGGAUGUAGCCAAGUGGAUCAAGGCAGUGGUUUGUGAAUCCACCAUGCGCGAAGGGCGAAUUGCGGCCGCUAAAUU